rnacentral:rRNA from 1 species
CCUACGGGAGGCAGCAGUGGGGAAUCUUGGACAAUGGGGGAAACCCUGAUCCAGCAAUGCCGCGUGUGGGAUGAAGGCCCUCGGGUUGUAAACCACUUUUGGCAGGAAAGAAAUCGCCUGUGCUAAUACCAUGGGCGGAUGACGGUACCUGCAGAAUAAGCACCGGCUAACUACGUGCCAGCAGCCGCGGUAAUACGUAGGGUGCGAGCGUUAAUCGGAAUUACUGGGCGUAAAGCGUGCGCAGGCGGUUUUGUAAGACAGAUGUGAAAUCCCCGGGCUUAACCUGGGAACUGCAUUUGUGACUGCAAGACUAGAGUGUGUCAGAGGGAGGUGGAAUUCCGCGUGUAGCAGUGAAAUGCGUAGAGAUGCGGAAGAACACCGAUGGCGAAGGCAGCCUCCUGGGAUAACACUGACGCUCAGGCACGAAAGCGUGGGGAGCAAACAGGAUUAGAUACCCCGGUAGUCCACGCCCUAAACGAUGUCAACUAGUUGUUGGGGAUUCAUUUCCUUAGUAACGUAGCUAACGCGUGAAGUUGACCGCCUGGGGAGUACGGCCGCAAGGUUAAAACUCAAAUGAAUUGACGG